rnacentral:lncRNA from 1 species
CAUAGACUAAAUAUAUAUAGAUACGCCACUCCGCUGUUGGGGCUGGCGACACUACCGCCACGCCAAAAUUGCACCUGGUGGCAAUUCACAGUUCAGCGAUCAGUGAAAUCAAAGCAACUCGGUGGCAGCUGAUUUUUUCACGAAACGUCAAAACACUGGAGUGCCGGUUCGCGAAAAGUUAGAAAAUUUCUGAAAAUGCUAAAACAUGCAGAUUCUGGUGCAAUGCAACGGAAAUUGUGUGCUCUUGUUUAAGAAGCAGUCACGUGAGUUUGCGGAAAACUAUGGCCAUGCUCUGGUGAAAGCGAUGAAACGGAAGUUGACUUUUGUAUCCACAGUGAAUUGAAAGUCAUUGCUUUCAGCAUGCCGAUGGACAAGAUUCAGUUCUACGUUGACGCUACCAAGUAAUUUGGCCUCCAGUCACGACCACUUCCACUUUUCCGGCCAUCACGACCCCGAUUACUGAGCAAGCAUCGGCACAAAUGCUGACCUCCGCAUAAGAAUCUUCUCUGAUUUGUGGCUCUACACGGAACAAAACAUUCCGCACAUGCAGUUCCGACCUCGUUUAUGCCGGAAAAGCUCAUCUUUGGCCUCUGAUCAUCACACGAGACGUACCUUGGAACCAAAUUUUGAAACAGUUUAAAACAAAUGCAACGCGGCCUUAUAUCCCAUUACUGAGAAAUGUCGUAGAUUUAGAACGCAUCAAAUCUCAACCGAGCAAAAGUCUUUUGUUGUU